CCAGGCAGGCUGAUGGUGCAAAUCAUACAGCCAAACUGAGGUUCAACUCACAUACAUCGCUCCCAUUCAAGUAACGACUGUCCCCACGACUGCAGUGCACCCCGUGUACCCGUCGCCAAUGGGCACAUACCUGCUGCUGAAUGGUAAAGAUCCACUGGAUAUGUUUGAAUCUCUUUCGAACUUUGAACCCCUUUAAAAUCUGGGCCCAAGUGCGAGAACUUGCUCACAGCCGUCAGGUCAACCCCAACAGACUGUCAGGUCACCGAGGUCGCGGGAAACUGCUGGAACCCGCGAGAACCCAAACUCAACAACAUAGAGGGGGUCAAGGUCGCUACUCUGCAGCCUUCAAACCAGCUAGCAACCCCAACGCUUGCUGCCCCAGGCCUCAAAGGGCUUAAUGUUGAAUAACCAGACUGUGAAUGACAUUGUACUUGCACUGUGAGCAGACAACCCAGCAGCCAUCAGCCUCGCGCGGUGCGACACUCCGCCUGAACACAACCCCAGACCUGUGUUCAACUAACAAGCAUACACACUACUGUCCAAAUGCUGAACUCUCACACAUGACAACUGCCAACAGCAUUUGCACAUUGAACUUGAAUCGGAACGGUGGAUGGUUGACCCAUCCUGUCCUAACUCUCACGGCCCCGCCGCACGAUGGUCACAUCAGAGCUAAUAGCCUGAUACAUCUUCAGGCAUAUAUAUAGACACCUUUAACGACCGGUGAUAGGCACCCACACUUCUCACAGCCAACCACGAUGGCUGUCACCCUCAAGAAGCCCCACUCAGGCCAGACCAUGCCAGAGGCCUGCUCUGUCAUCAGCAAACAAGACUCGGUGGUGCCAGCCUAUACAAACAGGUGCUCUAUAUGGCUCUCCAUACGAAAGGCCGAACUCUAAACCAUACAUUGGGUUUUCUUCCAACCAACAACAGAAGAGGCAUAAAACUGGGCCUCAACCUGGAAGCCAUACCCUAAAUUGAACUGUCCUCAUGAACAGUAUGUGUCUUGUGUAAUAGCUGCAGGGCAACUGACAUAAAAAUCCCCAAAGACUACCUACUGGGACGAUUGGUCUGCUACGAGUUCCAUGACUUUGAACUCUUGGGCCAAUUAGUGGCCUCACCCUACAUGCAACGACACCAGAGGGGAGCUUAGAAAACACAGACUAUACUGUUCCAUUCCAGCUCGCCACACUCACGUCUGUCUUACCAGUAAACAAAGAACCGGUAGGCAGAAGUGAGCUCACAGAGGACUAACUCCUUGCCGUGUGCCCAGCCACUCGUCACCCCAUCACUAACAUGGAUGAAGACAGGGCACUUUCCUCAACAGAACAGACAUGCUGAGGCCACGCAGGAUGAGGCCAACCGACAAACGUCAGCACAUCCUGCGUGGCCUCACCCUACAUGCAACGACACCAGAGGGGAGCUUAGAAAACACAGACUAUACUGUUCCAUUCCAGCUCGCCACACUCACGUCUGUCUUACCAGUAAACAAAGAACCGGUAGGCAGAAGUGAGCUCACAGAGGACUAACUCCUUGCCGUGUGCCCAGCCACUCGUCACCCCAUCACUAACAUGGAUGAAGACAGGGCACUUUCCUCAACAGAACAGACAUGCUGAGGCCACGCAGGAUGAGGCCAACCGACAAACGUCAGCACAUCCUGUAUAACUACCACGGUGCCCUCACUAAAGACUCUUUAGACUGCAAGUCCCACUGACCUUCACAUGGCAAUAUCCGACUCCAUGCUGGAAAAAGGACAUCGGGCUAUGCAACAAAACCUGCUCGGCACCCAUCUGGCCCAUCCUCAAGCCCAGGGUCAAAAGGGUGCCUGACCAUAGAAAGCUAAAUCAGCAAAUGCCAUUGUCACAAGGGCCAAUGACACCACUGGAACAGGAAGUGCCCAGAAUUCAAGGACCAACCAUCCCCUCAACGCUUGAUGUGGUCCCCGCCUUCUGGACAAUACCUGUACAUCCAAAUAAGCUAGCUUUCACCUUGAACAACAGACACUAAACGAUCAUGAGUUGCCCCGUCGGCUAGGCCAACUCACCAGCCGAAAGCAACACCCUCCUGAACAAAGCAUAUGCCGAUGCUUAUGUUAGAGGCAACCUCAUCUACGUUGAUGACACCCUUAAUGAAUGUACCACCGUGUCUGGCCACUCAAAGGAGAUAGUCCAUGGCCUACAACAGUUGACUGGCUAGCGCAAAGACUACCGCCUAGCAAGGUCUCCGAACUGAGCAGCUCCCUAAGUGGGUGCAACUACUCCAGACACGUCAUUAAGAACUGUUCAAAGACUUCUCGACCCGUGACCACCCUGUCAAAAAUGGCUGUCCUUCUGUUUGACGGAAGGUCAACAGCUGGCCACGAUUGAAGUGAGACAACGUCUAAGCAUAUGCAAGUAAGACACUCCUUGCGCCAGAAGGCAAAUACUAAGACUGUGUAACAACAUCGCUCUGCACGGUGGGUGCCAUUUCAACAGCUAUUCUCCAACUUCUUUGGAGCACAGAAGCCAUCAUAGACACCUGCCACCAACCUGUCAUGUUACUGAACAGUCAGCGCAUCCGGGAUGGCAUAAAGACUAAGGCCAGUACGGCCAUGCGGCCGAUGGCCCCCUAGGGCCACUGUAUUGACAC